rnacentral:rRNA from 1 species
AUGAACGCUAGCUACAGGCUUAACACAUGCAAGUCGAGGGGCAGCAUGGUCUUAGCUUGCUAAGGCCGAUGGCGACCGGCGCACGGGUGAGUAACACGUAUCCAACCUGCCGUCUACUCUUGGACAGCCUUCUGAAAGGAAGAUUAAUACAAGAUGGCAUCAUGAGUCCGCAUGUUCACAUGAUUAAAGGUAUUCCGGUAGACGAUGGGGAUGCGUUCCAUUAGAUAGUAGGCGGGGUAACGGCCCACCUAGUCUUCGAUGGAUAGGGGUUCUGAGAGGAAGGUCCCCCACAUUGGAACUGAGACACGGUCCAAACUCCUACGGGAGGCAGCAGUGAGGAAUAUUGGUCAAUGGGCGCAGGCCUGAACCAGCCAAGUAGCGUGAAGGAUGACUGCCCUAUGGGUUGUAAACUUCUUUUAUAAAGGAAUAAAGUCGGGUAUGGAUACCCGUUUGCAUGUACUUUAUGAAUAAGGAUCGGCUAACUCCGUGCCAGCAGCCGCGGUAAUACGGAGGAUCCGAGCGUUAUCCGGAUUUAUUGGGUUUAAAGGGAGCGUAGAUGGAUGUUUAAGUUCAGGUGUGAAAGUUUUGCGGCUCAACCGUUAAAAUUGGCAGUUGAUACUGGAUAUCUUGAGUGCAGUUGAGGCAGGCGGAAUUCGUGGUGUAGCGGUGAAAUGCUUAGAUAUCACGAAGAACUCCGAUUGCGAAGGCAGCCUGCUAAGCUGCAACUGACAUUGAGGCUCGAAAGUGUGGGUAUCAAACAGGAUUAGAUACCCUGGUAGUCCACACGGUAAACGAUGAAUACUCGCUGCUUGCGAUAUACUGCAAGCGGCCAAGCGAAAGCGUUAAGUAUUCCACCUGGGGAGUACGCCGGCAACGGUGAAACUCAAAGGAAUUGACGGGGGCCCGCACAAGCGGAGGAACAUGUGGUUUAAUUCGAUGAUACGCGAGGAACCUUACCCGGGCUUAAAUUGCAGAUGAAUUACGGUGAAAGCCGUAAGCCGCAAGGCAUCUGUGAAGGUGCUGCAUGGUUGUCGUCAGCUCGUGCCGUGAGGUGUCGGCUUAAGUGCCAUAACGAGCGCAACCCUUGUUGUCAGUUACUAACAGGUUCCGCUGAGGACUCUGACAAGACUGCCAUCGUAAGAUGUGAGGAAGGUGGGGAUGACGUCAAAUCAGCACGGCCCUUACGUCCGGGGCUACACACGUGUUACAAUGGGGGGUACAGAGGGCCGCUACCACGCGAGUGGAUGCCAAUCCCAAAAACCUCUCUCAGUUCGGGCUGGAGUCUGCAACCCGACUCCACGAAGCUGGAUUCGCUAGUAAUCGCGCAUCAGCCACGGCGCGGUGAAUACGUUCCCGGGCCUUGUACACACCGCCCGUCAAGCCAUGGGAGCCGGGGGUACCUGAAGUGCGUAACCGCGAGGAGCGCCCUAGGGUA